CAAGGAUUCCCAUAGUACCCGCGAGUGAACUGGGAAGAGCUCAGCGCUGAAUCACGACGGUAUAACUACCGUCGUGAACUGUGGCGUAUAGGUGUAACUGCAUCGGCAGCUAUUCGCACACUCAAAGUUCCCUUGAGUGGGGCUACUUCCGUAGAAGGUGCAAGACCUGUAUGAGUGGCUGGUGGUUGCCGAUAUUGGUUACUGCUUCAGAGUCGAGUUGCCUGGGAACGCAGCUCAAAGUCGGUGGUAAACCUCAUCUAAAGCUAAAUAUGACUUCGAGACCGAUAGCGAACAAGUACCGUGAGGGAAAGUUGCAAAGAACUUCGGAGGAAGAGUUCAAAAGGACGUGAAACCACUAGGGGGGAAGCGGAUAGAGUUAACAGCAUAAUGACGGCAUUCAGCCGAUGGCCGCAACGAACGGUAUGCAAAGUGUUCCGAAGCAAUCCGGCGCUUGCAUACUUGUAGCGUAUGUGCGAUCGGUGCUUUUGCCGUCAUUGGCGCGCUGAGGCACUCAGGGCGAUGUGUUGCAGGAUAUUGGCAGAGGACUGUGCUGCUUGUCAGUGCAGAACCCUACGAUAUCGUAAAGGCAUAUUCGCUGUGAGCGCAUGCUAUUAAAGCUCUGCCCGCAAUAGCGCAUAAGCGCAGCUGUGAUCGCAUUGGCUGUUGCCAGUGGCUUUGUCACUGUGUUUCUAGUCCGAGUGUAAUCAUGGUCGCGUCUGAUGC
rnacentral:rRNA from 1 species